rnacentral:rRNA from 1 species
AUGUUGACCUCAAAUCAGGUAGGAUUACCCGCUGAACUUAAGCAUAUCAAUAAGCCGGAGGAAC